GACGAACGCUGGCGGCGCGCUUAACACAUGCAAGUCGAGCGAGAACCAGGCCUUCGGGCCUGGGGAAAGCGGCGAACGGGUGAGUAACGCGUGGGUAAUCUGCCCUCGGCACUGGGAUAGCCCGGGGAAACCCGGAUUAAUACCGGAUAGCCUUUCGAGCCUUCGGGCUCGUCAGAAAAGGUGGCUUCGGCUUUCGGCUGAGGGUGCGCCCGCGGCGGAUUAGCUUGUUGGUGAGGUAAUGGCUCACCAAGGCUCCGAUCCGUAGCUGGUCUGAGAGGACGAUCAGCCACACUGGGACUGAGACACGGCCCAGACUCCUACGGGAGGCAGCAGUAGGGAAUCUUGCGCAAUGGGCGAAAGCCUGACGCAGCGACGCCGCGUGCGGGAAGAAGGCCUUCGGGUUGUAAACCGCUUUCAGGAGGGACGAAGCCACUCGGGUUAAUAGCCCAGAGGGUGACGGUACCUCCAGAAGAAGCCCCGGCUAACUACGUGCCAGCCGCCGCCGUAAGAC
rnacentral:rRNA from 1 species